UCCGUAGGUGAACCUGCGGAAGGAUCAUUACCGAGUUGAUUCGGGCUCCGGCCCGAUCCUCCCACCCUUUGUGUACCUACCUCUGUUGCUUUGGCGGGCCGCGGUUCUCCGCGGCCGCCCCCCUCCCCGGGGGGUGGCCAGCGCCCGCCAGAGGACCAUCAAACUCCAGUCAGUAAACGAUGCAGUCUGAAAAACAUUUAAUAAACUAAAACUUUCAACAACGGAUCUCUUGGUUCUGGCAUCGAUGAAGAACGCAGCGAAAUGCGAUAAGUAAUGUGAAUUGCAGAAUUCAGUGAAUCAUCGAAUCUUUGAACGCACAUUGCGCCCUUUGGUAUUCCGAAGGGCAUGCCUGUUCGAGCGUCAUUACAACCCUCAAGCUCUGCUUGGUAUUGGGCACCGUCCUUUGCGGGCGCGCCUCAAAGACCUCGGCGGUGGCGUCUUGCCUCAAGCGUAGUAGAACAUACAUCUCGCUUCGGAGCGCAGGGCGUCGCCCGCCGGACGAACCUUCUGAACUUUUCUCAAGGUUGACCUCGGAUCAGGUAGGGAUACCCGCUGAACUUAAGCAUAUCAAUAAGCGGAGGGA
rnacentral:rRNA from 1 species